AUUGAACGCUGGCGGCAGGCUUAACACAUGCAAGUCGAACGAGUGGCGGACUGGUGAGUAAUGCUUUGGAAUCUGGCUUAUGGAGGGGGAUAACGACGGGAAACUGUCGCUAAUACCGCCUACCCUCGGAUGUGCCCAGGUGGGAUUAGGUAGGUGGUGGGGUAAUGGCCUACCAAGGCGACGAUCCCUAGCUGGUCUGAGAGGAUGACCAGCCACACUGGAACGGAGACACGGCCCAGACUCCUACGGGAGGCAGCAGUGGGGAAUAUUGCGCAAUGGGGGCAAGCCUGAUGCAGCCAUGCCGCGUGAAUGAAGAAGGCCUUCGGGUUGUAAAGUUCUUUCAGUGAGGAGGCGUUAACCACAGAAGAAGCACCGGCUAACUCCGUGCCAGCAGCCGCGGUAAUUC
rnacentral:rRNA from 1 species